CUGUUGGGACAACACAGGGUCAGACACAAACACAGGUAGAUGUUGGACAAGACAGGGUCAGACACACACAGGUAGAUGUUGGACAAGACAGGGUCAGACACAAACACAGGUAGAUGUUGGACAAGACAGGGUCAGACACAAACACAGGUAGAUGUUGGACAAGACAGGGUCAGACACAAACACAGGUAGAUGUUGGACAAGACAGGGUCAGACACAAACACAGGUAGAUGUUGGACAAGACAGGGUCAGACACAAACACAGGUAGAUGUUGGACAAGACAGGGUCAGACACAAACACAGGUAGAUGUUGGACAAGACAGGGUCAGACACAAACACAGGUAGAUGUUGGACAAGACAGGGUCAGACACAAACACAGGUAGAUGUUGGACAAGACAGGGUCAGACACAAACACAGGUAGAUGUUGGACAAGACAGGGUCAGACACAAACACAGGUAGAUGUUGGACAAGACAGGGUCAGACACAAACACAGGUAGAUGUUGGACAAGACAGGGUCAGACACAAACACAGGUAGAUGUUGGACAAGACAGGGUCAGACACAAACACAGGUAGAUGUUGGACAAGACAGGGUCAGACACAAACACAGGUAGAUGUUGGACAAGACAGGGUCAGACACAAACACAGGUAGAUGUUGGACAAGACAGGGUCAGACACAAACACAGGUAGAUGUUGGACAAGACAGGGUCAGACACAAACACAGGUAGAUGUUGGACAAGACAGGGUCAGACACAAACACAGGUAGAUGUUGGACAAGACAGGGUCAGACACAAACACAGGUAGAUGUUGGACAAGACAGGGUCAGACACAAACACAGGUAGAUGUUGGACAAGACAGGGUCAGACACAAACAC